GGCAGCUUUGUCAAAUUCAGUACUGCCUGUUUACUGGCAAUUACUGGCCAAAAUGGCUGCAACAGUAAACAUGAGAAUCAUGGGCCCCUCUUUCUAUGGAAUGUUGGGGAUACAUUGAUACUGCAAACAUAU